UACGGAGGGUGCAAGCGUUAUCCGGAUUCACUGGGGUUAAAGGGAGCGUAGGUGGCUUUGUAAGUCAGUGGUGAAAUAUUGCGGCUCAACCGCAAAACUGCCAUUGAUACUGCUUAGCUUGAAUCACGUCGAGGUGGAUGGAAUAAUACAUGUAGCGGUGAAAUGCUUAGAUAUGUAUUAGAACACCGAUUGCGAAGGCAGUUCACUAGGCGUGUAUUGACACUGAGGCUCGAAAGCGUGGGGAUCAAACAGG
rnacentral:rRNA from 1 species